AUGUUCCUCAUGAACUGCUUCUCUUUCUUUAUCAGACUUUUGAUGGUGUGGAUGGAAAACAAGCAAGGCGUACCAACUCAUCAAGUCCUCUAGGCGAGCUUUUUGACCACGGAUGUGAUGCGCUUGCAUGUGGUGUAAGACCAC